CCACUAGGAUACUUCUUCACGAGUUUUAUUAAUUCUAAUAUGUCAUCGUCAGUCCAUAAUCCCCCAGAAAUAGCAGGUUUCUGAUAAACGUGAUUUAUUUGGUCUUUCUUAAACACCUCUUUAACGCCAUUACCGCUUCUUUCUUGCGGAGUGAAACCAGUUCUGCGUCUCCUCGUACGAGAUGUGAAUUCUGGUUCUGGUUGUUCGUUUUCUUGCAUUCUGAAACAGGUCGUACAAAUAAAUUCUAAGCAUACCUAAUGGAAAAAAAUGUUUGGUGGCAAAUAAUACGCUUCAUUUGAAUAUCACAGCUUCACUCACAAUGCUUCUUCUUCUUUUUGCUUUUUCCUACGUUUUCUUUCUUCCAGUAUAGUAUUCAUUACACGCACGAUAUCAGGUAUGGACAAUGUAAAAGCUAUUAUCCAUCUUGGAAAUUGAAACGGGAGAGUGUUCCAAAUAGUUGGUGUAGGAAUUUUCUCCAAAAUGUCUGCCAAAUCCGGCACAUCCAUCUUCCCUUUCUUAUUCUUUUUUUGCAUUUUCUGAAGUUUAGUGCCCAAAACUUGUUCCUGCAACAUAUAUGUAUAUCUUUUCUCGUAAUAUGCGGCCCAUGCAACUACAUAUUGUCCGAUGGUAAUCAGUAAAAAUAAAAUUAUUCCUAAUUCUACAAGUCCCAUUUUUCGCACAUGGCGGUAAUAAUACACGGCUGAUCGCCAGUUUGGCAAUCCAUUAACUAGAACACUGUCGUAUCGCUGACGUUUCGCAGGAUCUUUCAGAAUAUCAUAAACAGCGACUAACUGGAAAUGAGAGGAGGAUGGCGAAAAAAUACAAAAUUUAUUUCCCUUCAGACACCUAAAAUUCUAAUCAGGCAUCAUUUUUUAUAUAAAGUAUCUAAGUACAAAUCAAGUGUCAUAAAAUUAUAAUCAUUUAUAGCAAAUGUGAUGGGAAAGUUGUAAAAACUGUAAAUAAAGUUUACAUUGCCUCAAAAGGUGAAUUGAAUUUUUCUAACUUUAAGUGAUCACAAUUUUGAUAUUAAUGUAAGAAGUGCAAAAAUUCAAAUAGUAUUUUGUAGAAGAAAGUCAAUAUUUAUAUAGUAUGAAAAAACAUAUUGCUUAAAUUGCUAAUUAAUUGUAAUAAAAUACAACUAUUUAA
rnacentral:misc_RNA from 1 species